GGAUUAGAUACCCUGGUAGUCCUAACCGUAAACGGUGUGAACUUGCUGUAGGAGGAUUCGACCCCUUCUGUGGCGGAGCAAACGCGUUAAGUUCACCGCCUGGGAAGUACGGCCGCAAGGUUAAAACUCAAAGAAAUUGACGGGGGCCUGCACAAGCGGUGGAGUAUGUGGCUUAAUUCGAUGCAACGCGAAGAACCUUACCUGGGUUUGACAUGCCGUCAUAAGCUGUGAAAGCAGUGGUCAGUUCGGCUGGACGUGCACAGGUGCUGCAUGGCUGUCGUCAGCUCGUGCCG
rnacentral:rRNA from 1 species